AACAAAUUGAGACCAACCCAAAUACUUGGUCGGUCCAAAAUCUACAGUUUGGGGUUUUGUAGAAACCAUCUACAUCUUUGUCUCAGUUGCCUCUGGUUGGUGCCUCCAUGUCUUUCUCUGCUGAGCUUGCAGCUAAGAUCUCUUGAGUCAGGCGCCUCGAUGUCGAUGAUGCAAUUCUCAGAUCCAAAACACUGGCGAUCCUAAAGGUCGCAAUAACUCGGAGGUUUUAGCGUUAAAGGGAUUGAUGGUGUUGACUUCAUGAUAUCUGGGCGUAAGGCUCCCAGAAAAUUCAAAGCAGACUGUGGUUGGGGCUGGUUGGUAUGCGGCUCAACCUCCCCCGAUGGAGGCUGUCCGACCGGCAUGGCAGCCAUGCCACCGGAAGCUAUAGUUGAAGGUC